CAGAAGCAUCAAGAGUCAGGCCGACGCCUGACACCAACCUGCAUCCGUGCAAGGUGGUGCCUUCCCUGUUUUGCAGGAAGGGAUGUGGCCAGAAGACCGGCAAUAACGGACCCAUG
rnacentral:ncRNA from 1 species